UGUGCGUGCAGAAAUUUGAGCUCUACAUCUUCCCCUUCAGAAUUAUCUUCGCCAACGUGUCCCCGACUGCACACGAAUUUACUCUGAACCAGUACCUGAGUCGACAGCGGCAAAUGCUGCACGGUUACGAGUCCAGGAGACUGAAGUUCAUCCCGAAGCUAGUCUUCAUCAUCUGUGAGCGGCUGCUUGAACUCGCCUCUGCCGAGCUCACGGUGAGUGGUGG